rnacentral:rRNA from 1 species
CCUACGGGAGGCAGCAGUAGGGAAUAUUGCUCAAUGGGGGAAACCCUGAAGCAGCAACGCCGCGUGGAGGAUGAAGGUUUUCGGAUUGUAAACUCUUUUUGUUAGAGAAGAUAAUGACGGUAUCUAACGAAUAAGCACCGGCUCACUCCGUGACAGCAGCCGCGGUCAUACGGAGGGUGCAAGCGGUACGCGGAAUCACUGGGCGUAAGGGGCGCGUAGGCGGGAUAGCAAGUCAGUUGUGAAAUCCUAUGGCGUAACCAUAGAACUGCAUUUGAAACCGUUAUUCUAGAGUAUGGGAGAGGUAGGUGGAAUUCGUGGUGUAGGGGUAAAAUCCGUAGAGAUCAAGAGGAAUACGCAUUGCGAAGGCGACCUGCUAGAACAUAACUGACGCUGAUGCGCGAAAGCGUGGGGAUCAAACAGGAUUAGAUACCCGUGUAGUC